ACUUUGUACAAUUCCCAUCAUGUCUAUGCCCGAUCUCAUCUGAUCUCAGAAGCUAAGCAGGGGCGGGACUGGUUAGUCCUUGGAUGGGAGAAGUCUCAUUGUCAUUAAGGCUCUCAAACAGGCUAAGUGCAUAAAUUA
rnacentral:rRNA from 1 species